rnacentral:rRNA from 1 species
GAUGAACGCUGGCGGCGUGCCUAAUACAUGCAAGUCGAGCGAACGGACGAGGCGCUUGCUUCUCUGAUGUUAGCGGCGGACGGGUGAGUAACACGUGUAUAACCUACCUAUAAGACUGGGAUAACUUCGGGACACCGGAGCUCAUACCGGAUAAUAUUUUGAACCGCAUGGUUCAACAGUGAAAGACGGUUUUGCUGUCACUUAUAGAUGGAUCCGCGCUGCAUUAGCUAGUUGGUAAGGUAACGGCUUACCAAGGCAACGAUGCAUAGCCGACCUGAGAGGGUGAUCGGCCACACUGGAACUGAGACACGGUCCAGACUCCUACGGGAGGCAGCAGUAGGGAAUCUUCCGCAAUGGGCGAAAGCCUGACGGAGCAACGCCGCGUGAGUGAUGAAGGUCUUCGGAUCGUAAAACUCUGUUAUUAGGGAAGAACAUAUGUGUAAGUAACUGUGCACAUCUUGACGGUACCUAAUCAGAAAGCCACGGCUAACUACGUG